UUGUUUUAUUAAUUAUUACACAUAUACAGUGUACAAACUACUUUUGGACUGUGUUUGAUCAAACGAGAAUCUUAUACUAGAUUCGAUUCUCGCCUUCGUUAAUGAUCCUUCCGCAGGUUCACCUACGGAAA
rnacentral:misc_RNA from 1 species